CUGGGCUGGAUGAGUGGCGAACGGGUGAGUAACACGCGAGUAACCUGCCUCUUCUUUGGGAUAACGGUCGGAAACGGCUGCUAAUACCGGGUAUUCACUGUCCUUCGCAUGGGGGGUGGUGGAAAGGUUUUUUCUGGUGGGGGGAUGGGCUCGCGGCCUAUCAGCUUGUUGGUGGGGUGAUGGCUUACCAAGGCUUUGACGGGUAACCGGCCUGAGAGGGUGACCGGUCACAUUGGGACUGAGAUACGGCCCAG
rnacentral:rRNA from 1 species